rnacentral:rRNA from 1 species
AUUGAACGCUGGCGGCAUGCCUUACACAUGCAAGUCGAACGGUAACAGGUCUUCGGAUGCUGACGAGUGGCGAACGGGUGAGUAAUACAUCGGAACGUGCCCGAUCGUGGGGGAUAACGGAGCGAAAGCUUUGCUAAUACCGCAUACGAUCUACGGAUGAAAGCGGGGGAUCUUCGGACCUCGCGCGGACGGAGCGGCCGAUGGCAGAUUAGGUAGUUGGUGGGAUAAAAGCUUACCAAGCCGACGAUCUGUAGCUGGUCUGAGAGGAUGAUCAGCCACACUGGGACUGAGACACGGCCCAGACUCCUACGGGAGGCAGCAGUGGGGAAUUUUGGACAAUGGGCGCAAGCCUGAUCCAGCCAUGCCGCGUGCAGGAUGAAGG